rnacentral:rRNA from 1 species
AUUGAACGCUGGCGGCAGGCCUAACACAUGCGAGUCGAGCGGAUGAGGGGAGCUUGCUCCUGGAUUCAGCGGCGGACGGGUGAGUAAUGCCUAGGAAUCUGCCUGGUCGUGGGGGAUAACGUCCGGAAACGGGCGCUAAUACCGCAUACGUCCUGAGGGAGAAAGUGGGGGAUCUUCGGACCUCACGCUAUCAGAUGAGCCUAGGUCGGAUUAGCUAGUUGGUGUGGUAAAGGCCUACCAAGGCGACGAUCCGUAACUGGUCUGAGAGGAUGAUCAGUCACACUGGAACUGAGACACGGUCCAGACUCCUACGGGAGGCAGCAGUGGGGAAUAUUGGACAAUGGGCGAAAGCCUGAUCCAGCCAUGCCGCGUGUGUGAAGAAGGUCUUCGGAUUGUAAAGCACUUUAAGUUGGGAGGAAGGGCAGUAAGUUAAUACCUGGCUGUUUUGACGUUACCAACAGAAUAAGCACCGGCUAACUUCGUG